UACGUAGGGUGCAAGCGUUAAUCGGAAUUACUGGGCGUAAAGCGUGCGCAGGCGGUUUUGUAAGUCAGGUGUGAAAUCCCCGGGCUUAACCUGGGAAUGGCCGUUGAAACUGGCGAACUGGAGUGUGGCAGAGGGGGGUGGAAUUCCGCGUGUAGCAGUGAAAUGCGUAGAGAUGCGGAGGAACACCGAUGGCGAAGGCAGCCCCCUGGGCUGACACUGACGCUCAGGCACGAAAGCGUGGGGAGCAAACAGG
rnacentral:rRNA from 1 species